AAGCCAUGGUUGGGGCAUUGCUUUAGAAGGAUUUUAAAUCUCUCUCAUAUAUCCACUAGGGUCUCACCAUCUUUCUGCUUAAAGUUGGUGAUGUCACAUCUGGUUU